rnacentral:rRNA from 1 species
GAUCAUGGCUCAGGACGAACGCUGGCGGCGUGCCUAAUACAUGCAAGUCGAACGAGAGCGACCGGUGCUUGCACUGGUCAAUCUAGUGGCGAACGGGUGAGUAACACGUGGGUAACCUGCCCAUCAGAGGGAGAUAACAUCCGGAAACGGAUGCUAAAACCGCAUAGGUCUUCGAGCCGCAUGGCUUGAAGAGGAAAAGAGGCGCAAGCUCCUGCUGAUGGAUGGACCCG